AGCCUGAGGACGCCGGGCUCCGGAGCCGACGAGGCCGCUCCUGCAAGUCCCCCACUCCUGCAAGCCCCCCACUCCGGUCCCCCAGGUCAGGGUCUGCCCGGUCUGCCCCAUGGACUAGUCUGCCCUGCUGUCUGUUGUCUCCUUCCCUCCUGGGAGAGCCCCUGCAUCCGUCCCCCAAGGUGGAGUAAGUGGGCUUGGGGCUCUCAGGGGACAGCCAUCCCCUGCCCUGCCCUGCCUGCCCCACACCAUGACCCUCCUGCUGGUGACCCUCUUGCUGGCCUUGAUCCCCUCUAGCUCCUGUAACAAAGCCAACAAGCACAAGCCAUGGAUUGAGGCAGAAUACCAGGGCAUCGUCAUGGAGAAUGACAACACGGUCCUGCUGAACCCACCACUCUUUGCUUUGGACAAGGAUGCCCCCCUGCGCUAUGCAGGUGAGAUCUGUGGCUUCCGGCUCCAUGGGUCUGGGGUGCCCUUUGAGGCUGUGAUCCUGGACAAAGCGACGGGAGAAGGACUGAUCCGGGCCAAGGAGCCAGUGGACUGCGAGGCCCAGAAGGAGCACACCUUCACCAUCCAGGCCUACGAUUGUGGCGAGGGCCCCGAUGGGGCCAACACCAAGAAGUCCCACAAGGCCACCGUGCAUGUGCGGGUCAACGACGUGAAUGAGUUUGCACCAGUGUUUGUAGAGAGGCUGUACCGUGCUGCAGUGACAGAGGGGAAGCUGUAUGACCACAUCUUGCGGGUGGAAGCCAUUGAUGGUGACUGCUCCCCCCAGUACAGCCAGAUCUGCUACUACGAGAUCCUCACGCCCAACACCCCCUUCCUCAUCGACAAUGAUGGGAACAUUGAAAACACAGAGAAGCUGCAGUACAGUGGCGAGAGGCUCUACAAGUUUACAGUGACAGCCUACGACUGUGGGAAGAAGCGGGCAGCAGAUGACGCUGAGGUGGAGAUCCAGGUGAAGCCCACCUGUAAACCUAGCUGGCAAGGCUGGAACAAAAGAAUUGAAUAUGCACCUGGCGCUGGGAGCUUGGCUUUGUUCCCUGGUAUCCGCCUGGAGACCUGCGAUGAACCUCUCUGGAAUAUUCAGGCCACCAUAGAGCUGCAGACCAGCCAUGUGGCCAAGGGCUGUGACCGUGACAAUUACUCAGAGCGGGCACUGCGGAAACUCUGUGGUGCUGCUACUGGGGAGGUGGAUCUGUUGCCCAUGCCUGGCCCCAAUGCCAACUGGACGGCAGGACUCUCGGUGCACUACAGUCAGGACAGCAGCCUUAUCUACUGGUUCAAUGGCACCCAGGCCGUGCAGGUGCCCCUGGGUGGCACUGUUGGGCUGGGCUCUGGGCCCCAGGACAGCCUCAGUGACCAUUUUACCCUGUCCUUUUGGAUGAAGCAUGGUGUGACUCCCAACAAGGGCAAGAAGGAAGAGGAGACCAUCGUGUGCAACACUGUUCAGAAUGAGGAUGGCUUCUCUCACUACUCACUGACAGUCCAUGGCUGCAGAAUUGCCUUCCUCUACUGGCCGCUGCUUGAGAGUGCCCGCCCGGUCAAGUUCCUCUGGAAGCUGGAGCAGGUCUGUGAUGAUGAAUGGCACCACUAUGCUUUGAACCUCGAGUUUCCCACAGUCACGCUCUAUGCUGAUGGCAUCUCUUUUGACCCUGCCCUCAUCCAUGACAAUGGUCUCAUCCACCCGCCCCGCAGGGAACCUGCUCUCAUGAUUGGGGCCUGCUGGACUGAGGAGAAGAACAAAGAGAAGGUGGCGGGAGACAACAGUGCAGACCCCACACAAGGACACCCUUUGCUGAUCCACCACUACUUCCAUGGCUACCUGGCUGGUUUCAGCGUGCGCUCAGGCCGCCUGGAGAGCCGCGAGGUCAUCGAGUGCCUCUAUGCAUGUCGGGAGGGGCUGGACUAUAGGGAUUUCGAGAGCCUGGGUAAAGGCAUGAAGGUCCACGUGAACCCCUCGCAGUCCUUGCUCACCCUGGAGGGGGAUGAUGUGGAGACCUUCAACCAUGCCCUGCAGCAUGUGGCUUACAUGAACACUCUGCGCUUUGCCACGCCUGGCGUCAGGCCCCUGCGCCUCACCACUGCCGUCAAGUGCUUCAGUGAAGAAUCCUGUGUCUCCAUCCCUGAAGUGGAGGGCUAUGUGGUGGUUCUUCAGCCAGAUGCCCCCCAGAUUCUGCUGAGUGGCACUGCUCAUUUUGCCCUGCCAGCUGUGAACUUCGAGGGACCUGAGGGGAUCCCUUUGUUCCCUGAUCUUCAGAUCACUUGCUCCAUUUCUCACCAGGUGGAGGCCAAAAAGGAUGAGAGCUGGCAGGGCACAGUGACAGAUACACGCAUGUCGGAUGAGAUUGUGCACAACCUUGAUGGGUGUGAGAUUUCUCUGGUGGGCGAUGACCUUGACCCAGAGCGGGAAAGUUUACUCUUGGACAUGGCAUCCUUGCAGCAGCGGGGGCUGGAGCUCACCAACACGUCUGCCUACCUCACCAUUGCUGGGGUGGAGAGCAUCGCUGUGUAUGAGGAGAUCCUGAGGCAGGCUCGAUAUCAGCUACGACACGGCGCUGCCCUCUAUGCCAGGAAAUUCCGGCUUUCCUGCUCAGAAAUGAAUGGUCGUUACUCCAGCAACGAGUUCAUUGUGGAGGUCAACGUCCUGCACAGCAUGAACCGGGUGGCCCACCCUAGCCACGUGCUCAGCUCCCAGCAGUUCCUGCACCGAGGUCACCAGCCACCCCCUGAGAUGGCUGGACAUAGCCUGGCCAGCUCCCACCGCAACUCCACUGCAAGAAAAAUCAGGCAUGAUUCCAUCACAGAGAGGAAACCAUUGUUAAUAUGCAGAAGCAGUAAGAGAAAAUUCUCUGCAAAGGGACAGGAGGGACAUUCCUCUGAAGCCCCCAAGUGCACCAGCAAAGAGAGUGGUCCCGAGCGCGGCGACCCUCAUCAUCGUGGUGUGUGUCGGCUUCCUGGUGCUCAUGGUCAUCCUGGGCCUCGUGCGCAUCCACUCCCUUCACCGUCGUGUUUCAGGGGCCGGCGCGCCCCCUGGAGCCCCCAGUGACCCCAAGGACCCGGACCUCUUCUGGGAUGACUCUGCCCUCACCAUCAUCGUGAACCCCAUGGAGUCCUACCAGAAUCGGCAGGCCUGUGUGGUGGGGGCUGCUGGUGGCCCUCAGGAAGAUGAGGACAGCAGUGACUCCGAGGCAGCGGACUCCCCCAGCAGCGAUGAGAGGCACAUCAUUGAGAACCCCCCACACCGCUACUAAGGCCUACACCCAUCCCCAGACAGAAUUCUGCCCUGGUGAGACAGAGACGCCCCCAGAGGACAUUCUGAGAGAAGAGAGACCAGGAGGGAGAGAGCUCCCCUGAGGAGCCUUUCAUCUCAUGUGCUGGUGGCCCACCUCCUCCUCCACCCCCAGCCCGCCUCCCCCCUGCCUCCAGGGCUCCUGUUCCCCUGGGGUGGGAGUCUCUCCUAGGCUCACCAAGGCCUGGGUGGGAUUGAGGGGACCCUGCCUUCCCUCUGCUCCUGUCCCUGGAGGCCUUUCUCAGCUGGGCCAUCCCUGCUUCUCUUACUGCCCCUGCCCCUCUUUCCAUUUCACCCUGGGGGUUCCUGCUGCUUCUCCUUGCCCACGUUUCUUCCUCUUCCUGUCCUCUUUCCCCUCCUCUCCUGGUCUGAGGUCCUACCACCCCUGCCCCUUCCAACACUACCUGGUUGUGGCUAGGUUGUGGGGAUGGGAGGGGAACGGGGGCCUGGGUGUAUUAUAUAUAAUGUAUAUUUUUUCAUGUCGUCGUGAGCACAGCCCGUGUUCCGUGUGCAGCUCACAGCCUUGUGUGUGUGUGUGUGUGUGUGUGUGUGUGUGUGUGUGUGUGUGUGUGGCAUUGUC